rnacentral:rRNA from 1 species
GAUGAACGCUGGCGGCGUGCCUAAUACAUGCAAGUCGAGCGAACAGACGAGGAGCUUGCUCCUCUGACGUUAGCGGCGGACGGGUGAGUAACACGUGGAUAACCUACCUAUAAGACUGGGAUAACUUCGGGAAACCGGAGCUAAUAUCGGAUAAUAUAUUGAACCGCAUGGUUCAAUAGUGAAAGACGGUUUUGCUGUCACUUAUAGAUGGAUCCGCGCCGCAUUAGCUAGUUGGUAAGGUAACGGCUUACCAAGGCAACGAUGCGUAGCCGACCUGAGAGGGUGAUCGGCCACACUGGAACUGAGACACGGUCCAGACUCCUACGGGAGGCAGCAGUAGGGAAUCUUCCGCAAUGGGCGAAAGCCUGACGGAGCAACGCCGCGUGAGUGAUGAAGGUCUGCGGAUCGUAAAACUCUGUUAUUAGGGAAGAACAAAUGUGUAAGUAACUAUGCACGUCUUGACGGUACCUAAUCAGAAAGCCACGGCUAACUACGU